rnacentral:lncRNA from 1 species
GGUUGGCCAUGAAAAAAAACUUUCUUGAUUUUAAUUGACUGGAAUGAUUGUCAUUUUAUUAUAUUUAAUACAAUUGUACUGUCAGACACUUGUGUUCAAUGAAUAUUUUACACGUGUAUCUCUUAUUUGAUCUUUUGUUCGUACUUUUCACUCUAGUAAACUUUCUCAUACGUGUGACUGAUUAUUUUUGCCAAAUUUCAGAAAAAUAUAAGAAUGGUAUUAUAGAUAGUGAAUGUGAACAACUGAAAUAAUCUUCAAUAUUAAAUUCCGACAUAUUGAAUAAGUAAACACAAGUUACAAUGUAGUUGAUUAUCCAUCUUCUAUUGCACUAUAUAUUUUCCUUUGGUCUUUCGCGUUCGUGUUUAUAGCUCUAUAUUAUAUAUAUUAUUUGCAUGCCCUGAAAGAUUUUGCAUGCAUACGAAUACAACAAAUGGAAGUGUUUAACGACCUUGACUUGCCAUACAGCCCUCGCACGGUCGGCUCGGUGCCCGAAGGCGUUUGGUGAGCGUUUCAAUAAUUUUGUGCCAUCGGUCAGGAACGAGUGGUGGUCGCCAUUUUGGAGGUCGCCAUCUUGGUUUUGUGAGCUGUUUUCAUUUGGUAUGUUGAC